AUAAGCAUAGGGGUUAUUUAAUUUAGUUAUAUAGGCUACUUUGGAAAAUCAGCUGUGACCUGUGACUCCUAAGCCUGACUGACCCUGUGACAUCACCGACAUCGCUCGUUAUGCUGGGUCCGUCAGGCUUGAUGUCUGACAAGAGAAGCUCAUAUUUGUCUGGACAUGUAAAAAGACAACAGAAGAGAAGAGGCAAGAAGAUAAAGAUACUUAAGGCCACAGGCUCCGUUUUUCUAUGCCUGUGUUUUUAGAUAAUCUGCACUAAAGGUCUUACAUUAGUCUUAGUUAGCCGCGCUGGUAUUAACAAUGCUAACGCUGUAGCUUGCUAACAUGCUAAGCGCGAUUAGCAUAACAAUUUUUACAUACUGCAUAAACAUAGUAUAGUAUUAAUAUUAUACCUUAGUUUAGGAUUAACUCGUAUUAUUAAAGUCAGUUGAUUAGGUUAGUAGUGUUAUUAGGACAUGGGUCUUUUUCAGUUUAAGCCAUUAGCCUAUCUUUUUUUUAUCUAUCUUUGGAGCUGAGCUGCUCAAAUCUACAGUUAUAAAGCAUUUAACAGGACAAAACCAGAUAGGCCAGGUUUUAACAGGUCAUAUAACCCAAGAAGCUGACUCUGCUGGUAGGUUAUGUGUUUUAGUUAAACCUAAAGUGAUGACCUGUUCUUUCAUUAUAUAUCAAAUCUGUCAGGUAGGGAGUGUGUAGUAGCUGUUUUAAAGGACUGAUUGUUGAGAAACAUCAUGGAGCUCCUCCAAAGCUGCCAGUGUUUAAAGGACAUCUUAUCUAAAGUCACUUUUUAAAAGGAGACAGCAUCAAACUCUUGCAGAUUGUCCUGCAUUAUAAUAUCCUCCACAUCUAAUAACACAGUUAUUAGUUAUAAGUCAGUCAUUUCAGUUAAGUCAAUUUAUUUAUAUUUAUUUAUUAUUUCAUAGCAGGUCCAUCAGCCUCCACCUCUACAGUGCUGGUCUACCUGUGCCUACUGAAGUGGAGGGCAGUACCAUCGUGCUUACUACCACACCUGCUUCUCCAGUUUCUACUCCUCCAGUGGAUCCAGCUGACUGGCCAUCAGUCCUUAAUGACCAGUUACACGUUGAUGUGGUGAGCAGUAAAACCAGCACAGGUUGACAGAGACAUUUGGCUUUUCCAAAAAGACACAAAAUAUUUUCUAUCUCUUAAUCUCUUGUCUGGUUGUUAAUAAAGAUUUAAGCUUUGGUCAUAA